UUUGGUGUCGAUGCGCUUAGGGGAAAUACCCGUUCCCAUCCCGAACACGAUGGUCAAGCCCUAAGCGGCCGAUAAUACUAUACUGGAGACGGUAUGGGAAGGUAGGUGGAUGCCAAAG
rnacentral:rRNA from 1 species